UUUUGGACAAUGGGCGCAAGCCUGAUCCAGCCAUGCCGCGUGCAGGAUGAAGGCCCUCGGGUUGUAAACUGCUUUUGUACGGCACGAAAAGCCUCUUUCCAAUAAAGAGGGGUGAUGACGGUACCGUAAGCAUAAGCACCGGCUAACUACGUGCCAGCAGCCGCGGUAAUACGUAGGGUGCGAGCGUUAAUCGGAAUUACUGGGCGUAAAGCGUGCGCAGGCGGUCUUGCAAGACAGUGGUGAAAUCCCCGGGCUCAACCUGGGAACUGCCAUUGUGACUGCAAGGCUGGAGUACGGCAGAGGGGGAUGGAAGUCCGCGUGUAGCAGUGAAAUGCGUAGAUAUGCGGAGGAACACCGAUGGCGAAGGCAGUCCCCUGGGCCUGUACUGACGCUCAUGCACGAAAGCGUGGGGAGCAAACAGG
rnacentral:rRNA from 1 species